UGGGGAAUAUUGGACAAUGGGCGCAAGCCUGAUCCAGCCAUGCCGCGUGAGUGAUGAAGGCCCUAGGGUUGUAAAGCUCUUUCACCGGUGAAGAUAAUGACGGUAACCGGAGAAGAAGCCCCGGCUAACUUCGUGCCAGCAGCCGCGGUAAUACGAAGGGGGCUAGCGUUGUUCGGAUUUACUGGGCGUAAAGCGCACGUAGGCGGACUAUUAAGUCAGGGGUGAAAUCCCGGGGCUCAACCCCGGAACUGCCUUUGAUACUGGUAGUCUUGAGUUCGAGAGAGGUGGGUGGAAUUCCAAGUGUAGAGGUGAAAUUCGUAGAUAUUCGGAGGAACACCAGUGGCGAAGGCGGCUCACUGGCUCGAUACUGACGCUGAGGUGCGAAAGCGUGGGGAGCAAACAGG
rnacentral:rRNA from 1 species